rnacentral:rRNA from 1 species
GAUGAACGCUGGCGGCGUGCCUAAUACAUGCAAGUCGAGCGAACAGACGAGGAGCUUGCUCCUCUGACGUUAGCGGCGGACGGGUGAGUAACACGUGGAUAACCUACCUAUAAGACUGGGAUAACUUCGGGAAACCGGAGCUAAUACCGGAUAAUAUAUUGAACCGCAUGGUUCAAUAGUGAAAGACGGUUUUGCUGUCACUUAUAGAUGGAUCCGCGCCGCAUUAGCUAGUUGGUAAGGUAACGGCUUACCAAGGCGACGAUGCGUAGCCGACCUGAGAGGGUGAUCCGCCACACUGGAACUGAGACACGGUCCAGACUCCUACGGGAGGCAGCAGUAGGGAAUCUUCCGCAAUGGGCGAAAGCCUGACGGAGCAACGCCGCGUGAGUGAUGAAGGUCUUCGGAUCGUAAAACUCUGUUAUUAGGGAAGAACAAAUGUGUAAGUAACUAUGCACGUAUUGACGGUACCUAAUCAGAAAGCCACGGCUAACUACGUG